AUGGUACCUAGAGCCACCUCCGAU
rnacentral:miRNA from 1 species